rnacentral:rRNA from 1 species
UACGAAGGGGGCUAGCGUUGUUCGGAUUUACUGGGCGUAAAGCGCACGUAGGCGGGUCGUUAAGUCGGGGGUGAAAUCCUGGAGCUCAACUCCAGAACUGCCUUCGAUACUGGCGACCUAGAGUCCGGAAGAGGUGAGUGGAACUCCUAGUGUAGAGGUGGAAUUCGUAGAUAUUCGCAAGAACACCAGUGGCGAAGGCGGCUCACUGGCCCGAUACUGACGCUGAGGUGCGAAAGCGUGGGGAGCAAACAGG